GUUAGCUUAGAAGCAGCUACCCUUUAAAGAGUGCGUAACAGCUCACCAGUCGAGGUCUAGGGCCCCGAAAAUGGACGGGGCUAAGCCGACUACCGAUACCACGGAGCGCCGCAAGGCGAUCUGGUAGGGAGGCGCCGCGCGUGGGUGGAAGCGACUCCGUGAGGAGUCGUGGACCACGCGGGGACGAAAAUCUUGGUAGCAGUAGCAGCAAAGUCGGGUGAGAAUCCCGACCGCCGUAAGGGCCAGGGUUCCUGGGCAACGAUCGUCAGCCCAGGGUUAGUCGGUCCUAAGGUGUGCCGUAACUCGAGCACAUCGAAUGGGAAACAGGUUAAUAUUCCUGUACCUCCCGGCACUAAAACCGACGCUUCCGGAUAUGCCCGGCACCCGCGCCAGGGUGUUCAAGCGCCGAAGUCCGCGGAGAGCCGUCAUGGCGAGAAACGGACGAAUGCGUGAUGACGCAAGCAGGCAAAUUCCGGGAGCCCGUGAAAAGGGAGCCGGAGGCCGUACCGAGAACCAACACAGGUGCCCCGAGCUAAGAAGGCUCAGGCGUGUCGGAAGUAAUCCGGCUAAGGGAAUUCGGCAAAUUAGCCACGUAACUUCGGGAUAAGUGGUGCCUGCUUCGCAAGAAGCAGGUCGCAGUGACCAGGGAGCUCUAACUGUCUAAUAACAACAUAGGUGGUUGCAGACCCGAAAGGGCCAGUACAACCACUGAAUCCUGCCCAGUGCGGGUACCUGAAGACCCGGUACAACGGGAAGAAGGGCCCGUCAACGGCGGGGGUAACUAUGACCCUCUUAAGGUAGCG
rnacentral:rRNA from 1 species